rnacentral:rRNA from 1 species
GACGAACGCUGGCGGCGUGCCUAAUACAUGCAAGCAGAACGCUGAAGAGAGGAGCUUACUCUUCUUGGAUGAGUUGCGAACGGGUGAGUAACGCGUAGGUAACCUGCCUUGUAGCGGGGGAUAACUAUUGGAAACGAUAGCUAAUACCGCAUAACAAUGGAUGACACAUGUCAUUUAUUUGAAAGGGGCAAUUGCUCCACUACAAGAUGGACCUGCGUUGUAUUAGCUAGUAGGUGAGGUAAUGGCUCACCUAGGCGACGAUACAUAGCCGACCUGAGAGGGUGAUCGGCCACACUGGGACUGAGACACGGCCCAGACUCCUACGGGAGGCAGCAGUAGGGAAUCUUCGGCAAUGGGGGCAACCCUGACCGAGCAACGCCGCGUGAGUGAAGAAGGUUUUCGGAUCGUAAAGCUCUGUUGUAAGUCAAGAACGGGUGUGAGAGUGGAAAGUUCACACUGUGACGGUAGCUUACCAGAAAGGGACGGCUAACUACGUG